UAUCAGUGUAUAUUUAAUUUUUGAAUUGUAGAAUUAUUUGGGUUGCACAGUCGCACCAGCUCUGCAUGUCUGUACAUUUAUGAAACACCGCAUAUUUAUGGAUUCACGUGGUGUUUUUUCCUUAGGUUUGCUACUUUGUUGCAUCAGUGUCCGAAUUCGAUCAAGAAGGGGUCUGCUAAGGAGAUAGCUUUAGCAGCUCAUGCCAUUGGAUUGCUGGCUCUGACCACUGGUCCUGGGGAAAGAGCUCAGGAAAUAUUGGAAGAAUCAGUUCCUCCUAUUUCACAAGCUCUCAUGUCAACUUGAGAUGCCUUGAUAUGUAGUUGCCACUAAACCUUUACCAGGUGUAAUAACAGCUAUGGUUUCUGCUUGGUCAUUUCUUCUUACCACUAUGGAGGGAUGGACAUUUGAUCCUAAAAUCUGGCAAGAGUCGAUUUCUUAUUUUUCUACUCUGCUAGACAAGGAUGAUAGAUCUGUGCGCAUUGCAGCUGGCGAAGCACUUGCCUUAAUUUUUUAGAUAGGAAACUUUAAGUUCUCUGGUGAAAGUGUAUCAUAUUUCAAAACGUGCUUUCUUAUUUUUGGAUCACUUUGUAUAGUUAAAUUUAUUGUUUUGGAGUGCAAGUGUAUCAUAUUUCAAAACGUGAUUUCUAAAACGUAAAUCGCUAUGGUAUUAAUCUUUUCUGCCAACACUAGUUCUGCAUGCAUUACCUAUCAUGUUUUUGGAUUUGUACUUUCUAUUGCUUAUUCCAUUAGUCACUUGAUGAGAAUUGUGUUACCACCUCUCAAAGAGGUUUAAACCAGUUUUAUUUGAAGCCGUUUUAAUUUUUUUUAAAUAUAUGUUUAACCAAUCAAACAAUGUGCUAGUUAUUAUGCUUUGCCCAUUGCCAACUUGGGUUUUCUAUGCGGAAGGCUUGAAGUGGUUUCUAUUCGGGACAAUGUUGGGACCUAAUUCCUUGUUAAUUUGUGUUGCUGGGGAUUUUGUAUUAGUCUAUUCUUUCUUUGAAUCUGUGGACCUUUCUUUGUUCCCCUUUUAAAGUCAUUCACUCUUUGUACAGAGAUUGUACGAGUCACCAAACUCGGUCGUCAACAAGGCGAGGACACAAUAUCGGAACAAGCAGCGAAUGUUUUCGCAGGUAGUUUAUUAUUACAAUAAAAAUAUUGGUGUCUUCAGAAAGAAAGGUAUCAAACUAUAUGAAGCAAGCUUGAAGGAUGAAAAGCCUUUAGAUCAAUGGCUUCAUUGUUAAAUUAAGCAAGUGUUUUAGUAAAUAAAUUUAAUUUUCCCAUCAUAUUUACACCUUCAAAAUAUUCUGUAAAUGACAUUUGAUGUAGAAUUUUGUGUACAGAGGACAUCUUUUUUGUA